CUCCAUUUGAUGUUCUUUAUUGUCGGUCAUUUAAUGACAUUCUAUGGUUGUUGCAUGACAUUUAAAAAAAAUUGUCGGUCAUCCUGGUCAGUGGAUAGUAGUUUGCACACUCUGUCAGUCUGUAGUUUUGUUGUCCCCAAUGUCUGCUCCUUGACCGUGUUCUUAUGAACUGCCUUCUUUGUUUUUAGGGAUGGAAGCAACCUUAGGCUCGCUAUAUCUAUCUGCCAGUAAAGGCAUAAUUCAACCCUUCUUUUCCUUAUUUAAAACCUUUAUUUUCAACUCU